AUUGAACGCUGGCGGCAGGCCUAACACAUGCAAGUCGAACGAGUGGCGGACGGGUGAGUAAUGUCUGGGAAACUGCCCGAUGGAGGGGGAUAACUACUGGAAACGGUAGCUAAUACCGCAUACUAUCGGAUGUGCCCAGAUGGGAUUAGCUAGUAGGUGGGGUAACGGCUCACCGAGGCGACGAUCCCUAGCUGGUCUGAGAGGAUGAUCAGCCACACUGGGACUGAGACACGGUCCAGACUCCUACGGGAGGCAGAAGUGGGGAAUAUUGCACAAUGGGCGCAAGCCGGAUGCAGCCAUGCCGCGUGUAUGAAGAAGGCCUUAGGGUUGUAAAGUACUUUCAGCGGGGAGGCGUUACUCGCAGAAGAAGCACCGGCUAACUCCGUGCCAGCAGCCGCGGUAAUAC
rnacentral:rRNA from 1 species